AAUUCUCAAAACCCUUUCUUUUUGGUCUUUUUGAUCAGGGGAAGGAUUUUGGACUUGGAGGCCUUUUGCUGGUUUCGUCUUGAAGCGAGCUCCUCCCAAAUGAAUUAGUGGGGUCUGCUUUGCCGAUCCUUGGCGUGAUAAGUUGUUUCUACGUCUUGGGUUUUUGGCACUGUACGCCUGCUUCUAACCGUCUCAUCGACAAUGAUGGUGUUCCGGUCACCGCCGAUUCGUCGGUGGGGGGCUUGACCCACAGAAUGAAC
rnacentral:misc_RNA from 1 species